CAGGGACCCUCAUGGGUCAAUGGCUCGAAAGGGGUGUGUCAGGAAGCCUGCCACCUCGGCCUCCGGGCCAGGGGCAGUGCCAGCGGCUGACCCUGGCCAUGCAUGCCAGCCUCCAGAGCGGCUCCAGGCUCCAGCCUCCAUCUGUGCUGCCCUCUUACACUCUUGAUACUGCAGAGCAGCCGGAGUCGAAUGCGGGGGUGCUGCAGGGGUCCUGUGAGAGCAAAGUCCCUGGGGGCCGUUUGCUACCUACCCCAGAGAGAACGUGUUGUGCUUGCAUGACCUCAACCAGGAAGCCCAAAGCUUGUUGAUCUUGAGCACCUGCUGGAAUCUUGGCCCUGCUUCUGGGCAUGUAUCACCAAGUCUUAGGGUUCACAGGUGAGGGAAAUCUUUCAGCACUGAUGGUUCUAAGCAAGGAUGGACCUGGGUCAACCCUGAAGAGUGUCAGUGUAUACCACAGUCACAGAAGAUGGUGCAGGAAGCAGCCAGUUAUGAAGAUUACAACUUCUGCUUUUAUUUCCAUUGCCUGGAGCCUCUGUCUCAGUGGCCAGCACAGCCUGAUCCUCGCAGACUUGGAGUUUAGCACAACCUCAGGAGCCCUGGGAGCACCCUGGAAGCCCUCCUGAUGCAUUCCCUGGCCUGGCCGCAUGCCCCUGCCCUGGCAGGCUCUGCUCAACCCACCUUGAUGCUGGAAACAAAGGGCUCAGCUCAGCCCAAGCCACCACCUGGCUCCAUGGCCAGGACCAGUCCCAGUGCCAACUUCCUGGGAGCCAGGGCUGGGGCUGGGCUAGCGUUCAGAGACGCGCAUCUGAUACAGCAGGACACAGCCAUGAUGUGACCUUCGAGGGAGCCCAGGGCCAUGACAUCACACAAGAGACAGCCGCAUGGAGACCUGGGGCCAGAGCCAGGCCCUCUGACGUAUUCUCCCUCCCUACUCUCCUCUUUUCUCUUUCUUCUUGGAAACAGAAUCCAGGACCUUUGCACCAAGUUACAUCUUC